ensembl:lncRNA
CCCCCCCCACCCCGAGGAGAACCUCAGUUCCCAUGGUUUUCACUUUCUCCCCAGAUCUCCAGGAUCUGGCUUGGCUCCUCCUUGACCUGUAGUGUGACGUUCCCGUUGUGAGGGGGAAACAAAAGAGGACUAACAAAGGUUCAGUGGACUCCACAUGGUUCCCCUCUUUUCCUCGUCUCGUCUCCUGAGUGGACGACUCACGAGUUGGCACACUGAUCCCUGAUGUUGUCCAGUCCACGGCUGGCAGGGUCCACAACUUGUUUUUGAAAUACGUCUCAUCAAGAAAGCCAGACAAUAUUGCGUUGUGGACAAAAUCCCCGACCAAGUAAUAGGGUCAAGUCGCAGAAAAUCUCAUUAGAAUCAUGUUGAGCAAGC